UUGAACGCUGGCGGCAUGCUUUACACAUGCAAGUCGAACGGUAACAGGCCGCAAGGUGCUGACGAGUGGCGAACGGGUGAGUAAUGCAUCGGAACGUGCCCAGUCGUGGGGGAUAACUACUCGAAAGAGUAGCUAAUACCGCAUACGAUCUAUGGAUGAAAGCGGGGGACCGUAAGGCCUCGCGCGAUUGGAGCGGCCGAUGUCAGAUUAGGUAGUUGGUGGGGUAAGGGCUCACCAAGCCAACGAUCUGUAGCUGGUCUGAGAGGACGACCAGCCACACUGGGACUGAGACACGGCCCAGACUCCUACGGGAGGCAGCAGUGGGGAAUUUUGGACAAUGGGCGCAAGCCUGAUCCAGCAAUGCCGCGUGCAGGAAGAAGGCCUUCGGGUUGUAAACUGCUUUUGUACGGAACGAAACGGCUCUGGUUAAUACCCGGGGCUAAUGACGGUACCGUAAGAAUAAGCACCGGCUAACUACGUG
rnacentral:rRNA from 1 species